AAUUAACAAGAGGGAGAUGGUUGAUGAAAUUUGGGGUCACUUUUUUCCAUGUGGGAUGGUGACGGUAUGAAAACUGAUUGAUAAAGUCCUGUGAUUUGGGACUUUUUAGCUUAUAUUAUGAAAACUUCUUCAGCCAUGUAACAGCAGAGCAUGAACAAUGUUUGAACCCACCCUUUCCAAGACUCUGAGUCUCUGCCGGAACACCCCUCCCUGCCGUCUGACUAUAGCCACCCAAAGACUAUGUGGACCCUUUAAAGCCUUCUGCUUUGCUUUUGAACAAGUCCCAGUUCAAUAACUACACACUUGCUAAUGUUGUAAUUAUAAUUUCUCUACCUGGUUAUUAAAAUAUAAACAGCCUCAUUAAUAGCC